UACAGAGACUGCAAGCGUUAUUCGGAUUCACUGGGCGUAAAGGGUGCGCAGGCGGUCGGGUGUGUCAGAUGUGAAAUCCCGAGGCUCAACCUCGGAACUGCGUCUGAAACUACUCGACUAGAGUACUGGAGAGGGUAACGGAAUUCACGGUGUAGCAGUGAAAUGCGUAGAUAUCGUGAGGAACACCAGAGGCGAAGGCGGCUCACUGGCCCGGUACUGACGCUGAGGCACGAAAGCGUGGGGAGCAAACAGG
rnacentral:rRNA from 1 species